CGUGCUUCCACCCCAACAAUUAGAUGCUUGAAGUCUUCCCUCUGCUGUAGGGUCAACAUCUGGAAAUCGGACUGAACCACCAUUCUCUCCCGAGGCAAGUUCUUGCUCAGUCACUUCACUCCCUCACCAUUUCAAGACCACGGCGUUCCUAAAUUCCGUGUGGUCCUUUGCAUCGAUCAUCCCUUUGUUCCAUCCUUUGUUUCAUCGACAGACUCAAAAGAUCUUGCCGUUCUCUUUCUCAUUCAUCUUUGUUCUGUCUUUACUUUUCCUGCCUAAGAAAAAAGCUGUUCUAUUUUACUAGAAGAAAAUCCCAAAAGAAAAAAGACAAAAAAAAAAGGAGUUCUCUACGUAGGUGAUUUGUUUUGUUCAUUGUACUACGACGAGCAAGUCUUCCCUUCAUUGUAGCCCCAAAACCAGUGGGACGCUGCUAGCUGCAAGUCAGACCAAAUCAGCUGUAAUCAGUAAUCACCAAUCUCCUCGCAAAGCAAGAAACCGGCGACAAUUUUACGAUCUUCCUUCAAAAUUAGAUGCUUGAGAGCCUUGAAGCCUUCCCUCCUCCGCUGUAGCCUCAAGACCAGAGGGACGUUACAACUAGCAGUCUCCUAAAAAGUUCUUGCUUGGUAGUAGGACUGCACUUCAGUCACGAUUUCAAAACCACGGCAUUCCUUCUGUUGGUGUUCUAGUUCAUCCUUGUUUUCCUGUCUUCGAAGAAAAUACAAAAAA